AUUGAACGCUGGCGGCAGGCCUAACACAUGCAAGUCGAACGGUAGCACAGAGAGCUUGCUCUCGGGUGACGAGUGGCGGACGGGUGAGUAAUGUCUGGGAAACUGCCCGGUGGAGGGGGAUAACUACUGGAAACGGUAGCUCAUACCGCAUAACGUCGCAAGACCAAAGUGGGGGACCUUCGGGCCUCACACCAUCGGAUGUGCCCAGAGGGGAUUAGCUAGUAGGUGGGGGCAUGGCUCACCUAGGCGACGAUCCCUAGCUGGUCUGAGAGGAUGACCGGCCACACUGGAACUGAGACACGGUCCAGACUCCUACGGGAGGCAGCAGUGGGGAAUAUUGCACAAUGGGCGCAAGCCUGAUGCAGCCAUGCCGCGUGUAUGAAGAAGGCCGUCGGGUUGUAAAGUACUUUCGGCGGGGAGGAAGGCGGUGAAGUUAAUAGCUUCACCGAUUGACGUUACCCGCAGAAGAAGCACCGGCUAACUCCGUGCCAGCCGCCGCCAUAA
rnacentral:rRNA from 1 species